rnacentral:rRNA from 1 species
ACGGGUGAGUAAUGUCUGGGAAACUGCCUGAUGGAGGGGGAUAACUACUGGAAACGGUGGCUAAUACCGCAUAACGUCGCAAGACCAAAGAGGGGGACCUUCGGGCCUCUUGCCAUCAGAUGUGCCCAGAUGGGAUUAGCUUGUUGGUGAGGUAACGGCUCACCAAGGCGACGAUCCCUAGCUGGUCUGAGAGGAUGACCAGCCACACUGGAACUGAGACACGGUCCAGACUCCUACGGGAGGCAGCAGUGGGGAAUAUUGCACAAUGGGCGCAAGCCUGAUGCAGCCAUGCCGCGUGUAUGAAGAAGGCCUUCGGGUUGUAAAGUACUUUCAGCGGGGAGGAAGGUGUUGUGGUUAAUAACCGCAGCAAUUGACGUUACCCGCAGAAGAAGCACCGGCUAACUCCGUGCCAGCAGCCGCGGUAAUACGGAGGGUGCAAGCGUUAAUCGGAAUUACUGGGCGUAAAGCGCACGCAGGCGGUCUGUCAAGUCGGAUGUGAAAUCCCCGGGCUCAACCUGGGAACUGCAUUCGAAACUGGCAGGCUUGAGUCUUGUAGAGGGGGGUAGAAUUCCAGGUGUAGCGGUGAAAUGCGUAGAGAUCUGGAGGAAUACCGGUGGCGAAGGCGGCCCCCUGGACAAAGACUGACGCUCAGGUGCGAAAGCGUGGGGAGCAAACAGGAUUAGAUACCCUGGUAGUCCACGCCGUAAACGAUGUCUACUUGGAGGUUGUGCCCUUGAGGCGUGGCUUCCGGAGCUAACGCGUUAAGUAGACCGCCUGGGGAGUACGGCCGCAAGGUUAAAACUCAAAUGAAUUGACGGGGGCCCGCACAAGCGGUGGAGCAUGUGGUUUAAUUCGAUGCAACGCGAAGAACCUUACCUGGUCUUGACAUCCACAGAACUUUCCAGAGAUGGAUUGGUGCCUUCGGGAACUGUGAGACAGGUGCUGCAUGGCUGUCGUCAGCUCGUGUUGUGAAAUGUUGGGUUAAGUCCCGCAACGAGCGCAAC